GACGAACGCUGGCGGCGUGCUUAACACAUGCAAGUCGAACGAAGAGCGAUGGAAGCUUGCUUCUAUCAAUCUUAGUGGCGAACGGGUGAGUAACGCGUAAUCAACCUGCCCUUCAGAGGGGGACAACAGUUGGAAACGACUGCUAAUACCGCAUACGAUCUAACCUCGGCAUCGAGGAUAGAUGAAAGGUGGCCUCUAUUUAUAAGCUAUCACUGAAGGAGGGGAUUGCGUCUGAUUAGCUAGUUGGAGGGGUAACGGCCCACCAAGGCGAUGAUCAGUAGCCGGUCUGAGAGGAUGAACGGCCACAUUGGGACUGAGACACGGCCCAGACUCCUACGGGAGGCAGCAGUGGGGAAUCUUCCGCAAUGGACGAAAGUCUGACGGAGCAACGCCGCGUGAGUGAUGUCGGCCUUCGGGUUGUAAAGCUCUGCUAAUCGGGACGAAAGGCCUUCUUGCGAAUAGUUAGAAGGAUUGACGGUACCGGAAUAGAAAGCCACGG
rnacentral:rRNA from 1 species